rnacentral:lncRNA from 1 species
AUAUGACCAGGUUUUCAGUUUUCUGUUGCAGAAAGGAGAAGAGGGAGCUACUUGAGGAAAAUAUUUGGAAUAAAGGAAGCUAUCAUAAUGGAAAUGGUGGAUUUAAGAUUCAAGAUUUAAUUUCCAAUUCCAUAUGCUCUUUGACCACAUCCUAAGAAAGCUGUGAGAUUUCAGUAUCCCAUUUUUAAGCAAGCAUUUGUUGUAAACAAGUCUGGCAGAUGGCCACAACACCUGGGACAAUUAAGCCCAAGGGAUGCUUGAGUAGUUUCUAAGGCAAGCAGAAUCUUCCAUCUGCUCAAAUGGCACUUUUGGGGUUUAAGCAAGCCUGUGUGGGCUACUCAGGGUUUAUUCCCCUCACAAGUCUACUCUUCUGUCUCCAAAUACUUGCUGGCUGCCCCU